rnacentral:rRNA from 1 species
AUUGAACGCUGGCGGCGUGCCUAAUACAUGCAAGUCGAACGGAGUGUCGCACGGGUGAGUAAUAUAUAGCUAAUCUGCCCCUUGCUGGAGGACAACAGUUAGAAAUGACUGCUAAUACUCCAUAGCAAGGGAUGGGACUAUAUCUUAGCAGCUAGUCGGUGGGGUAACGGCCUACCCAGGCUAUGACGCGUAACUGGUCUGCGAGGAUGAUCAGGCAAAUGGGAAGGGAGGCACGGUACAAACUUCUAGGGGAAGGAGCAGUAGGGAAUAGUGCGCAAUGGGGGAAACUCUGGAGCAGCAUCGGGGGGUGGAGGACGAUACGCGGGGGGGAGUGAAGUCCUUUUGUUAGCGAAGCGGUACCUAAAGAAGAAGCACCGGCUAACUCCGUGCCAGCAGCCGCGGUAAUAC